UACGAAGGGGGCGAGCGUUGUUCGGAAUUACUGGGCGUAAAGGGCGCGUAGGCGGCCGAUCAAGUUAGAUGUGAAAGUCCUGGGCUUAACCUGGGGACUGCAUUUGAUACUGAUUGGCUUGAAUUCGGGAGAGGAUAGCGGAAUUCCCAGUGUAGAGGUGAAAUUCGUAGAUAUUGGGAAGAACACCGGUGGCGAAGGCGGCUAUCUGGACCGACAUUGACGCUGAGGCGGCGAAAAGCGUGGGGAGCAAACAGG
rnacentral:rRNA from 1 species